GAUGAACGCUAGCUACAGGCUUAACACAUGCAAGUCGAGGGGUAGCAGGGUAGCAAUACCGCUGACGACCGGCGCACGGGUGAGUAACACGUAUCCAACCUUCCCAUAACUCGGGGAUAGCCUUUCGAAAGAAAGAUUAAUACCCGAUAGUACUUUUUCAAGGCAUCUUGAGAAAGUUAAAGAAUUAUUGGUUAUGGAAGGGGAUGCGUUCCAUUAGAUAGUUGGUGAGGUAACGGCACACCAAGUCUUCGAUGGAUAGGGGUUCUGGGAGGAAGGUCCCCCACAUUGGUACUGAGACACGGACCAAACUCCUACGGGAGGCAGCAGUGAGGAAUAUUGGUCAAUGGGCGAGAGCAUGAACCAGCCAAGUAGCGUGAAGGAUGAAGGUCCUAUGGAUUGUAAUCUUCUUUUAUAGUAGAAUAAAGUGACCUACGUGUAGGUUUUUGUAUGUAUACUAUGAAUAAGGAUCGGCUGACUCCGUGCCAGCCGCCGCCGUAA
rnacentral:rRNA from 1 species